rfam:Lachancea dasiensis CBS 10888 genome assembly, chromosome: H
ACAUGGUGAGAUCAACAUCAGACUAGCUUUGUGCAAUGCACAAUUGCUAACCUGUAUCGAACAUGGUUCUUGCCUUUUACCAGAACCAUCCGGGUGUUGUCUCUACCGGGUUCGAGUUUGGGCUCUGUAUUUUUUGGAACCUUUUACCUUUAUUUGUU